CGGAGGAUCCAAGCGUUAUCCGGAAUCAUUGGGUUUAAAGGGUCCGUAGGCGGGUUUAUAAGUCAGUGGUGAAAGCCCAUCGCUCAACGAUGGAACGGCCAUUGAUACUGUAGAUCUUGAAUUAUUAGGAAGUAACUAGAAUAUGUAGUAUAGCGGUGAAAUGCUUAGAGAUUACAUGGAAUACCAAUUGCGAAGGCAGGUUACUACUAAUGGAUUGACGCUGAUGGACGAAAGCGUGGGUAGCGAACAGGAUUAGAUACCCUGGUAGUCCACGCCGUAAACGAUGGAUACUAGCUGUUCGGAGCAAUCUGAGUGGCUAAGCGAAAGUGAUAAGUAUCCCACCUGGGGAGUACGUUCGCAAGAAUG
rnacentral:rRNA from 1 species